rnacentral:tRNA from 1 species
GCUUUCCUGUUUCUCAGUUGGUAGAGCAUUGCACUAACAAUGCAAAUGUUGUGGGUUCAAAUCCCAGGGAAAGCA